CAAUAGCGUAUAUUUAAGUUGUUGCAGUUAAAAAGCUCGUAGUUGGAUUUCGGGUGGGACGCAGCGGUCUCGCAUUGCGUUUGUACUGCUGCAGCCCUCCUUCUUGCCGGGGGCGGCCUCUCGGACUUCACUGUCUGGGGGUCAGAAUCGGCGAUGUUACUUUGAGUAAAUUAGAGUGUUCAAAGCAAGCUUACGCUCUGAAUAUAAUAGCAUGGGAUAACACGACAGGACUCUGGCAUAUCGUGUUGGUCUAUAGGACCAGAGUAAUGAUUAAGAGGGACAGUCGGGGGCAUUCGUAUUCCGUUGUCAGAGGUGAAAUUCUUGGAUUUACGGAAGACGAACAUCUGCGAAAGCAUUUGCCAAGGAUGUUUUCAUUGA
rnacentral:rRNA from 1 species